CCCUGUACACACAUAAUAUUAUCAUAUUUUAUGGUGAAGUUAUUAGAUUUAUAUUAUUUGUAGUUAUAAAAAUAAAGCUACAGGUAUUCGGCUUUGUCGUAUAAAUUUAGUGGAAGCGUGAUUAUCUUAUAAUUGUCCUUACAUAGAGAACAAACCGGAAUGAAAAUUAAAAUAUAUUUUACAUAAUCUGUGUUAUUACACAUACGUUAAACCAGUCGGUUUUUUGUUUAAAACCCUAAAUUACACGCAUUAGAAAAUAUUCACAAGGAUCCAUAUACACGGUGUUUUUGACCGUGUAUUGAAAUAUUUCAAUAAAAAUAUCAUAAAUUGAAAUAUACAUUAUUUCAUUGCUCUUAAAUAAAUACAAUUUUCAAAUACUUUUAUUGAUAAUAUGAACAAAUAAAACGUUCAUAUAAAUUUUAUAUUGCACACAUUAGGUUACUAAUUAUGUAAAAUAUUUUUUUCUAAAAAUAAUUGUCAUAGUAUAGCACGCACACGGUCUUUUAAUAGGUAAGUAGUGAACUUUGAACUCAUUUGUAGCACAAUUUUUACCUAAAGCGUGGUUCAUACUUGACUUGAAUAUUGCAUUUUUGAGUUAUCUAAUAAAAACAAAACAGAUUUCGGUUGUCACGGGCAAGGAAUUACGCCCAGCUAAAUAAUAUAUGCAAAAAACAAUCUUAAUGAAGUAUAUAUUAUCCAAUCCGAAUUUGAUGCUGCGUGAUUGGAUCGUAUUUAAAUAUAAACAAUAUGUAUUCAAAAUCAGAGUUUCAGCAUUACAAAAACCUAAACUCGGACACAAACGAUAGCCCCAGAAAUUCUGAGUCAGGGAAAUUCAUCUUAGCAAGUAUUAAAACUUGUUAUAAUUUAAAAUAAUUUAUAAUUUAAAAUCGUAAAAAUACUAUUUAUUAUAAUUGUGUACUGAAAUUAAAGAAUUAUUUAUAUUUUAAUGUUGCAACUGUUUAGUUCUACCCUUUAAUUUCACAAGUAUAAUGUUUCGAUUUCAC